AGGAGGACAGCCCCUAGAAUUCACCUUGGACGUAACAAAAAGCACAAGUCCACAUGGCGAAGAAGGGAAGAGAAAUUAAUAAAACCAUUGGCGCCUAACUAUUUCUCUUUCCUUUAAGAAAAUCCAUCAAAGCACAAAUCUUUUUCUUUUUCAUCAAACACUCGAAUUCUUUGUCCCUCUUUCUAUGUAUAAAAAUGGGUUCUUUCUAGUUUUCUUUAAUCUAGACAAAAAUGGGAACGUUAGAACACAAUGCCAAGUAUCUUUCCACAAAACUAGUGUUUCUGGUAUCUUGUGCAGGCCUUCUUGGGGCUGUUUUCAUUGCAGAUUUCGUUUGGACCUCAUCUUCGUCUAUUUCUUCUGCUUAUCAAUCCUAUGCAUCCAAUUGGGCUCUUCAGAAGUCUGGGAAAAUUUUGUUUCUCAACGCCACUAACAAAAAAGAUGAUGAGAAAGAAGCCCUUAAAGGUAAAAAGGACCAUCUUGCUGAUAGAUUCUUGCCAGCAACUUUUGCUGAUUUACCAGCACCAAAGUUAGAAUGGGAGCAGAUGCCAUCAGCACCAGUACCUCGUCUCGAUGGCUAUGCAAUGCAGAUCAAGAACCUUUUAUAUGUAUUUGCGGGAUAUGGUUCCCUUGAUCAUGUGCACUCACAUGUUGAUGUAUACAAUUUUACUGAUAAUACAUGGGGAGAGAGUUUUGAUAUCCCAAAAGACAUGGCACAUUCACAUCUAGGGAUUGCAACUGAUGGAAGAUACAUAUACAUUGUCUCAGGACAAUAUGGUCCCCAGUGCAGAACAGCCAUAACCCGUACUUUUUCCCUGGACACUGAGACAAAGAAAUGGCGGAGCAUGCCUCCAUUACCAGCACCAAGGUAUGCUCCUGCAACUCAGUUAUGGAGAGGCAGACUCCAUGUUAUAGGUGGCAGCAAGGAAAAUCGCCACACGCCUGGAGUGGAUCACUGGAGUAUUGCAGUGAAGGAUGGGGAGGCGAUAGAGAAGGAAUGGCGAACUGAAGUGCCCAUUCCCCAUGGGGGGCCUCAUAGGGCUUGUGUUGUGGCCAAUGAUAGGCUUUUUGUAAUUGGUGGUCAGGAGGGUGAUUUUAUGCCAAAGCCUGGUUCACCUAUUUUCAAGUGUUCUCGUAGGAAUGAGGUAUAUCAGCUAAUUGUUUUGUUUCUAUUGGAUCACAUAAUUGGAUUGGCCUUCAGCAGCAUUCAGUCAGCGGCAUGCCCACAAAUAGCCUAUAAAAUUUUCACCUUUUCAGGUUGUUUAUGGUGAUGUUUAUAUGCUAGACAGUGAAAUGAAGUGGAAAGCUUUACCUGCAAUGCCAAAACCCAACUCCCAUAUUGAGUGUUCUUGGGUACUGGUGAACAAUUCGAUCAUCAUCACUGGAGGUACAACAGAAAAGCACCCAGUGACCAAAAGGAUGAUCCUGGUUGGGGAGGUGUUCCAAUUUCGUGUGGAUUCUCUGACAUGGUCAGUGAUUGGAAAACUUCCUUUCCGCAUAAAAACUACGCUUGCUGGCUUUUGGGAUGGAUGGCUGUAUUUUACCUCCGGACAGCGGGACAGAGGACCUGAUAAUCCACAGCCACAGAAAGUUAUUGGAGAAAUGUGGAGAACCAAAUUGCAUUUGUGAACUUUUAACCUGUAUAAUGGCAUUAUAAGUUUUCACCUAUUCCAUUUUAAGAAUUUAAUUCUUCUAAUUUAGUCUGCUAGUAAAGACAUGUCCAUCUGCAUGCUUGAUUCAAGUUUGAUUCUCCAAGUCUUGUUAAGUGUGAUGUUCAAAUAUGGACUCACUAUGGCAUAGGCUUUGUGGUAUGGAUGACUUGUGCCUUGAGUUCAUUACAAAAUAAGGGUAUAAGCAGAAAGGAGGGUUUU
rnacentral:misc_RNA from 1 species